UACGUAGGUGGCAAGCGUUGCUCGGAAUCACUGGGCGUAAAGCGCACGUAGGCGGACUCUUAAGUCGGUGGUGAAAUCCUGGAGCUCAACUCCAGAACUGCCUUCGAUACUGGGAGUCUCGAGUCCGAGAGAGGUGAGUGGAACUGCGAGUGUAGAGGUGAAAUUCGUAGAUAUUCGCAAGAACACCAGUGGCGAAGGCGGCUCACUGGCUCGGUACUGACGCUGAGGUGCGAAAGCGUGGGGAGCAAACAGG
rnacentral:rRNA from 1 species